rnacentral:rRNA from 1 species
UACGUAGGGGGCAAGCGUUGUCCGGAUUUAUUGGGCGUAAAGAGCGUGUAGGCGGCCAUGUAGGUCCGUUGUGAAAACUCGAGGCUCAACCUCGAGACGCCGAUGGAAACCAUGUGGCUAGAGUCCGGAAGAGGAGAGUGGAAUUCCUGGUGUAGCGGUGAAAUGCGUAGAUAUCAGUCGGAACACCCGUGGCGAAGGCGGCUUCUUGGGCCUUGCCUGACGCUGAUGCGCGAAAGCUGGGGGAGCGAACGGG